CCACAGUGGAUCUGGCAGCAGUGACAGACAAAGACAAUAAGGUAUCUGACACAAAAGGAUAUAUGAAGCUGUGAUUCAAGCAUGACAAGCGGAGAGUAACAUCAUGGCAUCCCUCCAUUAGUCCCAGGUCUCUGUGUAGUAAAGCCUGACGGUCUGAAACGAGACAGAGAGAAGCUCACAGAACAUCGCUCAAGUGUGAUAUGACCUAUUGACUGGAAGAGGGUGAGAGACAGAGGACGACAUUCAGCAGUUGGCCAAAGGUCAGACCCAGGGAGCUGUGUGUCAGCUACAGCAAGAAUGGAAGAAUUCUCAGCAGAGAAUGAAAUGCUAACAACAUGAGAAGAGAAGAAGAAAACAACCCUGCAGGUUAUUUUUUGUGUGUCACAACCAUUAUAAGUCAAUAGCGGUGCUCCCAGCAUGCUGAGUAAAUGUGGGUCCUCAGUAGGAGGGCCUCCCCCCAUGGAUCAGCCAGUGUGAGAGCGCUCUCCUGAUGCAAUUAAAGAACAGCCCUUUAAUAAAUGAUGAAUGUCAAAGACAGCAUGAGGUUUGGCCUGUUACGAAGACUUGCAUCCUAUGUAGAUCUAUGGUCACAGCAGGGCAGGAAACAAGGGCUGGCAUGCUGGAAACUCAGAGAGCGGAAACAGGAGGAUGUUUAAAAGAACCCCGCUGCAAAUGUCACUUCGUCCUUUUCAACACUUCUCGGAAUUUGGCGGUGGACAUUCAAGAUGCAGAGGCAGCUGUCAGUUCAUAAGCCUUCCGCUGACAUUUGGGAUUCUGGGCCGCUUGCCCCGCGCCGGCACAGGAAGCCAAGGGCACAGUGGAAAGGAUGGCUCGGGACAGUGGCUGUGGUCACAUCAUCACAGUAGCACCAGGCAGUAUUACUGUAACUUAACAGUGUGUUCUGCUUUACUGUAGGACGUGAUCUUGCAACCUUAUCAUGACCCAACCUUAGAAAGAUUACAGGAAAGGGUAGAACACCUGAGAUCAAUUUGACAAAGUAACACCUAAUAUUUCAUGUCCCCAGAUGAAGUGCCACCAUGUCACCCACAUAACUGUCUUUUAGCUCUGUUUACAACAGCAAUAUUAGUAUCACUAUUGCAUGACUAACUGGCCUUCUGAAGGCUGUGGGAAGGAUUCCUUUCUCUGCCAAUGUUACCAGCUGGAGCUGAGUGAGAGUGAGUCAGAGUUAUUAUUGUUGUUGAAGCUCUCUGAGUGUAAGCCCACAAUGGUCCACACUCACUGGGUAGUGUUACUUCCUGCUCGGGCCAACAAUAAAAACAUUCUGUCCACUUAGAUUACACAGUCAGCAUGCGAAACACUGCUGACAUGUAGUCUUUAGUAUCAGCUUUUUAAAGUUACAUGAGCCACUGGAAAGGAGGCGGGGGUACCUGAGGUCAUUAUGGUUCGUUUUUAUCCAGAGAAUAUUUCAAAAUUCAACAUUUACAGGUUAAAAUAUCAAGGAAGUCAGUAACUCAGAAGAUCUGCUUACCUGCUUAUCAAAGUAUGCACUUUACGUACGUGCUUAAAUAUGUAUAUGAGUAAGUGUGUAUGUAUGUAUUGUAUAUAUAAAUUAACAUGGGUGUAUACAUGUGUGUAUGAGUGUAUACUUUUUAAAUCUUAAUGAAGUAUGAAUUGUAUGAAUUAGGGGUAGCAACUAAAUGACAUAAUGACAGCACAUCUGGCCCUGUCUGUAUUUCAUUGCUUUUUAAACAGCUUUAAUUCAACUUUAAUAUUACUUCCAUUUAACUGUUUUCUAUUUCUAUCGUUUAUAUUUUUACAUUUUUUUAA